AACAACCCACCUCCUUUUCCCCUUCCCUCCCACACAAUAACUGGGAUGACUUGUCUAGAUCUUAGGCAACAAUUCUCUUAGCACAUCAGCUCCUGGAAACAAAUGCACUUAACCAGAAAAAUAGGGACAUCAACCAGCAAAGAUGCAUCCUCAUUUAAUAGAGCUUGAAAUUACUAUAAUCUGUAAAGUACAGCGAGAAGAAGAAGUUUCACCUGCCUGCACAUCUGUCGUUGACUCUCCAUCUGACUUGGAGGGACUCUGAGGGACCAACCUGAGCCUGAGAAGAGGCAAGAUUCCCCUUCAAGGACACACUGGGAACUUACGGACCUCUUUCUCCAUGGUGCAGAGCGCACAGGCUACCUGAGAAUAUCCAGAGACUACAGAGGUCAUCAAGCUGACGCAUCAAUGUUUACAUGUGAACGAACAGACUCAUAAUAGUUCUUGAGCUUGCCAUUGGGAAGUGAAAAUCGACUGCUUGAAUAAAUGUAAGGACUCAGGUAGACAUCACCUUGUGACUCAACAGCAGCCAAUAAGAUGGAAAUAAAGGCCAUGAAGUUAUCGGAUGGCAUCUACAAGGAAUACUUAGAUGAGGAGGUGACUCUGGUAGCAAUUGUUCUUUUGUCUUUCUCACCUUCCUUCUUGUCCUGUCUGGGAUGCUGAAGUGAUGGCUGGUAUACAGAUUCUCUGUUGUGAUGUUGAGAUAAACAUGAGAAUAAAAGUCAGCAAUUACAGAUGGCAGAGAAGAGAGAGAAAGAUAGGAUGUAGGUGGAUAUUGAUGGAACUAAGUUUCUAUUGCACAAGUUCUACCACUAACCUCUGGACUUCAUGAUAUGUGAGGGAGAAAUAAACUCCUAUUUUAGAAGAGAUCUAUGUUACCUGCAACUGAACGGAAUGCUUAAUUGGCACAUCCUAUGUGCUCCAAACCUUCCUUAAUUUCUGUGUGUAAGGCAUACUUAGUCUUUACCCAUUAUUCUGUUCACAUUCAUUCACUCGAUCAGCCUCCCAACUCUACAGUAAAGAGUUUACUAUAGUUUACUCUAUUAGUAAGGGAGAUUCUGGAGCAAGCCCCACAAAUCAUAGAUUGAAUACCCAUUCAUCAAGAGAGAGAUUUAAAGAUACUUCUAUCCAAACACAUUUUAAAUUUCCAGCACCUUUGAGGUGGUGGAGGUUCAUGGUGGUUGAUAGGUUUAAAUGACUUGUGAUUCAAGCUCCAUAUUAUAAUGUAACAGUGCAAAAGUUCAUUUUUUAAAAUUUAUUUUACUUUAAGUUCUGGUAUACAUGUGUAGAACAUGCGGGUUUGUUACAUAGGUAUACAUGUGCCAUGGUGGUUUGCUGCACCUAUCAAACCGUCACCUAGGUUUUAAGAACCACAUGCAUUAGGUAUUUGACCUAAUGUUCUCCCUCAUGUUGCCCCCCACUCCCUGACAGGGCCCAGUGUGUGAUGUUCCCCUCCCUGUGUCCAUGUGUUCUCAUUGUUCAACUCCCACUUAUGAGUGAGAACAUGUGGUGUUUGAUUUUCUGUUCCUGUGUUAGUUUGCUGAGAAUGAUGGCUUCCAGCUUCAUCCAUGUCCCUGCAAAGGACACGAACUCAUUCUUUUUUAUGGCUGCAUAAUAUUCCAUGAGUCUGGAUUUGGUUACAGAUAGAGCUGGACGAGCCUUAGCUAUAUCUAAUGGCUUUUGACAUGUUAUAUCAAUUUCUUACUGCUUUUGUAAAUGAAUAUAUUAAGAAGAAAAAAUUACAAAUGACCCUUUCUUUACAAACUUUUAGGGUAAUCAAGUUCAGUUAUUAAAAAAUGGAUGUUUGCAACAUUCAUAGUAAUUAUUUUCAGAAAAUUAAAAAUGAUUAAAAAUUAUAUUUUCAUCCCAUUCAGAUAUUAUAUAUUUAACUGUGAGAUAAUUCUCAGAGAUAAAUGUCAACUUUUAAAAAAUGCUAAAUAAAUUAAAUCAAAAUAUCCACUCUAAAAUAAAUAAAUUAGCUCCGAUUAUUUCUUCUUUUUAAAUUUUUCCUUAUAGUUGUAAAAAUAAAGUGAACGUUUUGGCUCAUUUCCUCAUUAAAGUUUGAAUUUUCCAGUCACCAGUGUUUUGUUCUUUCUUACAAAUGUUUACGUGCCUGGAAUGAGAACAUUACCCUGUAGAAUAUUUGGUGGUAGAAGUCCUUCCAAUGAGGGAGCAAGCAGGAUGCCAGCUUAGAAUGAUUAUAUAGGCAAUAAACUCAAAUGUUAAUAGGUGUCGAGGAAAGCAGUGUGAGUGGGUUUGGGAGGCUGAUCAUAAGGCAAUAGGGAAUGGUGAGGACUGUGGCAAAUGAGGGAGCUUCUGCUCUGCCUAAUGUGGGGCACCCAGGACACAACUCCAGAGGCUUCUUUUUUGUGACGUCUUUCAAUAUGUAGGGAAAAGUGGAAAAAAAAAUCUUGUUUUUUAAACACUGUCAUAAUAGCAACAUAAAAUACACUUCUAUGACCUAUAUCCCAUCUGUGUGUCUGCACGGGACUCAGUGACCUCAGUCUCUUAGGACUAGUGAAUAAUAAGAGAUGUCAGAAAAGAAUGGGCUGGGGAUAAGUGGAAGUUGACUUCUGGUCUCAGAAGAAUAAAAAAGACAAAGAGAUGGGAUCCCAUCUUUCAAUGUACCUUCCGUCUUUGAAGUGAGUCUAAUAGCUGGAAUAGAGAAGGACUUAAAGCUAAUAAAAGUUAGAAUGUUAUUAAUGCAAUUUUUAAUUGUUACCAGAAAAUAAUGCAAUUCUUAGUUAUCACCAACCUUCCAAUAUAAGAAUAUUUCUCCUAAUUUUCUUCCUUUCUGCCCUUCACUAAACAUAAACCCAGAACCAUGGAAGUCAAUUCCUUCUCCCUGGCACUGCUACUCAUGACCCAUAUUAAGUAUUCAAGUCUUCUAAAUUAUUUUACUCUCCAUACAAAGAAAAUAGCAUGAGUAUUUAUAAGUGAGGACAACUCCCAAUAUACAUGACAGAACUCUAACUCAACUUAACCAUAAAGAUACAUCUUUUUUCACCUAACAAGAAGUCAAGUAGGAAUGGCUUUGGGGGAAGUUGAUCCAAGGGCUAAAUAUUGUACCCAAGGCCCCAAGUUCUUUCCAUCUGUCUGAUCCUUCAUUCUUGGUGAUGACUUUGUCCUCACAAGGGCUGCAAAUGGCUGUAGCAAUCCCAAGUGUCUCAUUCAGACGUAAGAGCAGGCAUAAGAAAUGACCAUUUCAUCCUGUGUCUCUUUCUUAGGAAUCAGGACAUUUCUCUCCCGGAUACCCACAAACAGAACUUCCUUGUCAUUGGCCAAAAUUGGGUCACAUAACCAUUUACACCCUCACUGGAAAUGAGGAUAGAAUUAGCCCAUUCCUCGAGUUGGAGUGAAUUCAGAUUCUCCUGGGGUACAUGCUGUAUGUAGAAAGAGUAGAUGUCUUAACCAAAUCAUAAUUCAGAACAGUUGGUGGAUAGGUAACCAAAGUGUGUAUAGGAUUAUUGUCACAAUUUUGGGUUCUAUCUUCUAGUCUCCUGUUUUCCAGUUCUUAUAAGCCAACCAGAUUGACCAUGCCAGCUCACUCUUGUUUCUUGAUUUCACUCAAAACAAGAAAACCUAGAGAUUCUACUUGAAGCCAAACAAUAGCAACAUAAAAGAAAAGUACCAAAAAAUAAGUCUUGCAAAAAUCCAAAACGCUGACAACACCAAAUGCUGCCGAGGAGGUGGAGAAACAGGAAGUCUCCUUCAUUGUUGAUGGGAAUGCAAAAUAGUAUAUUCACCUUGGAAGACAGUUUUGCAGUCUCAAAAAACUAAACGUAUGCUUACUAUACAAUCUAGCAUUCACGCUCCAUAGCAUUUACCCAAAGAAACUGAAAACCUGUGUCCACACAAAAACCUACUCAUGAAUGUUUAUAGCAGCUUUAUUCAUAAUUAACAAAAUUUGGGAUGUCUUUCAAUAAGUAAUGGAUACGUAAACAGAUAUAUCCGGACAAUAGGAUAUUAUUCGGCUUUACAAAGACAUGAGCUAUCAAGUCCUGAAAAGCUACUAGAGAACUUUAAAUGUGUAUUUAAAGAAGCCAAUCACACAAGGCUACAACCCAUAUGAUUCCAACUAUGUAACUUUCUAGAAAAGGCAAAUUAAAAAGAUAAGUGGUUUCCAGAGACUGGGAAAAUGUACAGGUAAGUGUAUGAAGCACAGAAGAUUUUUAGAGCAGUGAAACUACUCUGUAUGAUAAUAUAAUGGAGGGUACAAGUCAUUAUAUACUUGUCAAAACCCGCAGAAUGAACAACACCAAGGGUUACUGAUGUAAGCUGUGGCUUUGGGUGAUAAGAAUGUAUCAGUGCUGGUUCAUCAAUUGUAACAAAUGUACCACAAUCAUAACAAACAAUUAUAGAGACGUUGAUAGUCCAGCAGGUCAUAUCGGAACAUGGGUUGGGGCAGGAGGUAUGCAGGAGUUUUCUGUCCAUUCUCCUCAAUGGGCUCUGAAUUUAAAAUGGCCCUAAAAAUAAAGUAUUUUUAAUUUUUUUUUCAUUCUGACUUUUUUUUAACUUUAAGUUCAGUGGUACAUGUGCAAGUUUAUUAUAUAGGUAAACCUGUGUCACAGGAGUUGGUUGUACAGAUUAUUUCAUCUAGGUAUGCCUGUUUCACCCAGGUAUUAAGCCUAGCACCCAUUAGUUAUUCUUCUUGGUCCUCUCCCUCCUUCCACCCUGCACCCUCUGGUAGGACCCUGUGGCUGUUUUUCCCCUCUAUGUGUCCAUGUGUUCUCAUUAUUUAGCUCCCAUUUAUAAGUGAGAACAUACUGUAUUUGGUUUUCUGUUUCUGUGUUAGUUUGCUAAGGAUAAUGGCCUGCAGCUCCAUCCAUGUUCCUGCAAAGGACAUGAUCCUGUUCUUUUUUACGGCUGCAUGGUACUGCAUGGUAUAUUUGUACAUUUCUUUAUCUAGUCUACCACCGAUGGGCAUCUCGGUUGAUUCCAUGUCUUUGCUAUUGUGAGUAGUGCUGCAAUGAACAUUAGCAUGUGUGUGUCUUUAAGAUUAGAAUAACUUAUAUUCCUUUGGGUAUAUACUCAGGAAUAGGACUGCUGGGUAGAAUGGUAGUUCUGUUUUUAGGUUUUUGAGGAAUUGCCACACUGGUUUCCACAAUGGUUGAAGUAAUUUACACUCCCACCAACAGUGUUUAAGUGUUCUUCUGUCUCUCCAAUCUCACCAGCACCUGUUAUUUAAAAAUCAUGUUCUUCAGCCAUCACAUUUUAUCAAGGCAAAAACUGAGUCCCAGCUUAAAAGGAGUGGAUGGGUCAGAGGAGACUCCAAUCUCAUUCUAAGUGCCCUGAGUGCAUGGAUGUCCACUGCAAACUGGAAGAGAACUGCUGGGAGGUUUUCUUCCUUCCACUGGGAGGAAGCGAUUAUAACAAUGCCCUUCCACCUAUGCCUGUUACUUGUAUUUCUGAUCCAGAUAAAAGCAUGACAUUACAAAUGGAUUUGUGGGGAAUUCAUGUUUUGAAACAUUAACUGAUUUUUCCUUGGUAUUUCUUCUUACUCUUCACUCUUUUUCACAUUUGUGAGGUCAACUCACCUAGCAUUCAUGGCAUUGGAGAAGAGGUGAUAUGUCAAAGGAAAGCCUCCUGGAUUUUAAAAUUCUGAAUUCUAAAAUAACUCAGAACAUAUCAUUUAAAAAUUGAUAAAGUCGAGGAAGGUUUUCUGUCUUCAAGACCAGGCAAGAUACAGAGAAAAAAGAGGACCUGAAAGAAACUGAGGCUCUGGUGGGAAGGGUUGGUUACAUUGUAAACUUUGUCUCAGUCUUGACUUUGGAAGUCACUGCGGGUGGGAUUUCUGAAUUGAUGGAGAGUAACAUUCAGGUAUCUAAUAGCAAGGGUACUUAUAAAAAGUAAUAUAAGACCGGGCACGGUGGCUUGCGCCUGUAAUCCCAGCACUCUGGGAGGCCAAGGCGGGCAGAUCAUGAGGUCAGGAGAUGGAGACCAUCCUGGUUAACACGGUGAAACUCUGUCUCAAAUAAAAAUACAAAAAAUUAGCCGGGCGCAGUGGCAGGAGCCUGUAGUCCCAGCUACUCGGGAGGCUGAGGCAGAAUGGCGCGAACCUGGGAGGCAGAGCUUGCAGUGAGCUGAGAUCAUGCCACUGCACUCCAGCCUGGGCCACAGAGUGAGACCCCAUCUCAAAAAAAAAAAAAAAAGUAAUAUAAAUUACUGAAAUAAAAAAAGAAAUGUAUCUUUUCUCUAUACUUGAGCUUGUAGAUUGACAUUUGUACCUCUACAGGAACAAAGAAAUUUGAGUCUUCUUAUAGCCCUACCAAAGAAGAAAAAAGAUUGUAAAUGUUGAAGUCCUUAAAGGGCUGGACAUGAUCAGAGGCCUCUAAGUUGGUUAUCGUAGAGACGAAUAAGACAAUCGACAGCCUUUUCCACUAUUUCCUUUAGUUAGAUUACAUUAACCUUCCCAUUUCACCAUCGCCUGCUGAUUCGCAUAUACUAGAAGCCUACAGUGAGAAAAGCAAUAUCAUGAUAAUAAAGCAAAAGGAAAAUAUUGCCAAUAUCUGGAUGUGGGACCCUAAGCCGAUUACUGUCCUCUCUGAUCCUCAGUCCUGUUACCCACAAAAGGAGAGUGUGGGCUGAUAUAGAUCAACUUUUAGUUUCUUUUGGGUUAAUUGUGCAAUUUUAUGGUUGCAAGUGAAUCAUUUGAAAUGUGUUCUGAGCUUGAAUUGAUAUUUAUUUUUGCAACUCCAUAGUAAUUUUCUAUAAUUUCUCACAAUUAAUUUUAUUUGACAUGUGAAGAAACUUUGGUAUAUGCUAAACUUUAGAUAUUAUGUUGCUAUGGAUCAAUCCCUGGAUUGAAAUUCAUUUUUUUAAACCUAAAACUUGAAUACAGAAGAUAAAAUAGUCUCUGAAAAAAAUAGAGCACUCAGCACUUUGGGAGGCCGAGAUGGGAGAAUCACUUGAGCCCAGGUGUUUGAGACCAGCCUUAGCAACAAGGCAAGACCCUGUCUCUAUUAAAAAAAAAUGCAAAAAUUAGCUGGGUGUUGUAGUGGUGUGCAGCUGUAGUCCCAGCUACUUGGGAGGCUAAGGUGGGAGGAUCACUUGAGCACAGAAGGUCAAAGCUGUAGUCAGCCAUGAUCACAUCACUGCACUCCAACCUGGGUGACAGAGAGAGACUCUGUCUCAAAAAAAAAAA